rnacentral:tRNA from 1 species
UUUAAUUUGGCAGAUUUCAUGCGUUUGAUUUAGAAUCAUAUUAUAACAUUUUUUGUUAGUUUCAAAAACAGUUUUUGAAA